GCCCGCCUAGCUUAGUUGGUAGAGCGCAACUAUGUAGUGGUUGUGGUCGUGGGUUCGAUUCCCACGGUGGGCA